rnacentral:rRNA from 1 species
GACGAACGCUGGCGGCGUGCCUAAUACAUGCAAGUUGAGCGCUGAAGGUUGGUACUUGUACCGACUGGAUGAGCAGCGAACGGGUGAGUAACGCGUGGGGAAUCUGCCUUUGAGCGGGGGACAACAUUUGGAAACGAAUGCUAAUACCGCAUAAAAACUUUAAACACAAGUUUUAAGUUUGAAAGAUGCAAUUGCAUCACUCAAAGAUGAUCCCGCGUUGUAUUAGCUAGUUGGUGAGGUAAAGGCUCACCAAGGCGAUGAUACAUAGCCGACCUGAGAGGGUGAUCGGCCACAUUGGGACUGAGACACGGCCCAAACUCCUACGGGAGGCAGCAGUAGGGAAUCUUCGGCAAUGGACGAAAGUCUGACCGAGCAACGCCGCGUGAGAGAAGAAGGUUUUCGGAUCGUAAAACUCUGUUGGUAGAGAAGAACGUUGGUGAGAGUGGAAAGCUCAUCAAGUGACGGUAACUACCCAGAAAGGGACGGCUAACUACGUG